rnacentral:rRNA from 1 species
AUUGAACGCUGGCGGCAGGCUUAACACAUGCAAGUCGAGCGGUAACAUUUCUAGCUUGCUAGAAGAUGACGAGCGGCGGACGGGUGAGUAAUACUUAGGAAUCUACCUAGUAGUGGGGGAUAGCACGGGGAAACUCGUAUUAAUACCGCAUACGACCUACGGGAGAAAGGGGGCAACUUGUUGCUCUCGCUAUUAGAUGAGCCUAAGUCGGAUUAGCUAGAUGGUGGGGUAAAGGCCUACCAUGGCGACGAUCUGUAGCUGGUCUGAGAGGAUGAUCAGCCACACCGGAACUGAGACACGGUCCGGACUCCUACGGGAGGCAGCAGUGGGGAAUAUUGGACAAUGGGGGAAACCCUGAUCCAGCCAUGCCGCGUGUGUGAAGAAGGCCUUUUGGUUGUAAAGCACUUUAAGCAGUGAAGAAGACUCCGUGGUUAAUACCCAUGGACGAUGACAUUAGCUGCAGAAUAAGCACCGGCUAACU